rnacentral:rRNA from 1 species
GUAGGGAAUCUUGCGCAAUGGGCGAAAGCCUGACGCAGCCAUGCCGCGUGAAUGAUGAAGGUCUUAGGAUUGUAAAAUUCUUUCACCGGGGACGAUAAUGACGGUACCCGGAGAAGAAGCCCCGGCUAACUUCGUGCCAGCAGCCGCGGUAAUACGAAGGGGGCUAGCGUUGCUCGGAAUUACUGGGCGUAAAGGGAGCGUAGGCGGAUAGUUUAGUCAGAGGUGAAAGCCCAGGGCUCAACCUUGGGAUUGCCUUUGAUACUGGCUAUCUUGAGUAUGGAAGAGGUAUGUGGAACUCCGAGUGUAGAGGUGAAAUUCGUAGAUAUUCGGAAGAACACCAGUGGCGAAGGCGACAUACUGGUCCAUUACUGACGCUGAGGCUCGAAAGCGUGGGGAGCAAACAGGAUUAGAAACCCGAGUAGUCC